AUUCCUAACUCUAUGGUUAAAAACAUUAGCCGCGCCGCCAUCGUACUAUUGUGAUUCCAGCAUGCGUGUUUGUAGGGACUGUUCAAAUGAGUGUAAGGUUUUGUUUCGGAUAGGAUAAACUUUAUGUUGGCAACCUUGAAUGUAUACAUGAAAUCUUUGUAGGGUUCUUUGGGUUUGUCAUAUGUUCAGUUGGUGAUAAACUUCCUUCUCAGAUACAUCUCUAUUUAUUAUUUGACUGUCUAAAUAAAAAAUGACUUCUUCUUUGGAAGAAGAUGUCCUUUUGAAUUCAACGUGGAAAAGAUACAUGAAAUUAAACAAAACUGAGGAGCAAUUGGAUAAGAAAAUAUCACAAAUGAAGAAAGAGUUAGGACUGGCUUCAAAGACAUAUGUUGCAGAGUUGAACAUUUACAAUGAAACAAAAGAUGCUGCUCAGACUAUUCUGGGGGCAUUGGCGACUGUAAAAAAUAUGAGUGUUGAAGAAUUGCAUCGUGAUUAUGAUUUACCAGUUACUGAUAAAAAAGAUUAGCAUGGGCUAGAUAUUUUCGAGUGAUGUAAGUAAACUUAAUUAUUUGGUUGAAGUUUGUAUUGUGUUUUCAUAUGGAAUAGUUACCUAUUCAAAACUUUUAAUUUGCAUGAUAAACAUUUGUGCUGUAAAGUUGUUUCUGGAAUUUCUGCUGUUUUAAAUAUUUUUAAAAAUGGAAUUAUGGUCCCCGUACACUAGUGCAGUACGUUGAAAUAGUAGGGGUAGCAGUGCUAACAUGGACACCCCAAGGGGCAGACACUGAAACGUGAAAUAUGGUGGCUUCUACAGAGCGCCUGGUCAAAGUCAGAAAUGGUUAAUGAGAGGCUUGUUGAACUGAGCAAACAGCAUUCCAAUACUGCGGCAAAUUGUAUCACAGCAAUACUGCAAAAAAAAAGUUGCAAUACCACUAUAGUAUGUGCACCUUUAUAUAUUGCUGUACCUUAACUGUGUGUGGGGACCUUGAUUAAACUACAGUAGCAGUGACAAAAUGCAAGACCAAGUACCUAGAUAGCAUGGGAGUAAUAAAGUAAGACAGCUGGGAAGACUACACUAGACGUCACAGUACUUUGAGGCCUGAAUUUUUUUUUUUUCUGCAGGCAAGAAGACACUGACUGCAACAAAUUUCAAAUUGCAGCAGACUUAAGAUAACAAGAUUUUUUUUCUCCAUAGUCAUUUCAAUAAAUUAUAUCAGUUUGUGCUUCCUGUGAAUGUACUUAGUCCUUGCAUUUUUGUGUGUGUAUUGUAUCAAUGUUUUUCUUUAAAAACAUUUAUUUGAAUUUGUUGAAAACUAGUAUAGUGUUUUUCAGUUUCAGCAUAGUAUUAUGAUAAAAAAUACAGCUUUAAAAUCCACAAAUCGUUUACAUCUGUAUUUUAGUGAUCAUGUACUAGCAGACGGUGAAAAAUAAAGGUGUUUUAAACAGUAAA